rnacentral:rRNA from 1 species
UACAGAGGUCUCAAGCGUUGUUCGGAUUCAUUGGGCGUAAAGGGUGCGUAGGCGGCGCGGUAAGUCGGGUGUGAAAUCUCGGGGCUUAACUCCGAAACUGCAUUCGAUACUGCCGUGCUUGAGGACUGGAGAGGAGACUGGAGUUUACGGUGUAGCGGUGAAAUGCGUAGAUAUCGUAAGGAAGACCAGUGGCGAAGGCGGGUCUCUGGACAGUUCCUGACGCUGAGGCACGAGGGCCAGGGGAGCAAACGGG